rnacentral:siRNA from 1 species
UUACAUGCAAAAGGCCAAUAAG